CGAGCCCGUCGGUCCGGCCCGGCCGCGCUCCCGCCGCCGCCCCGCCAUGUGGCUGCUGGCCGCCUCCGUGCUGCUCGGCGCCCUGCGCGCAGGUUCUGCCCAGUUAAUCCUCACUGGAACAGACAUUGUUGAAAAAAAUGACUGUAAUGAAACUGUCAUUUUACCUUGUUAUGUGACUAAUCUAAGGGAGAACAAUGAAAAUGUCAUGUUUGUUACAUGGAAAAAAGAAAAAAAGGUAAUUUUUUCUUUUCGUGGAGGAACAAACGAGUUUUAUAAAGACCCAUCGUUUUUAUCAGCAAAAUUGGUAUCUCAGGCGGAUUUAACCAAGGGUGUGGCCUCUCUGAUGCUUAGCACUGCACAAGCAACCGUUGGAAAUUACAGUUGUGAAGUAACAGAAUCAAACAGAGAAGGAGAAACAAGAAUGGAACUUAGACAGAGCUCAGUUGUCAGUUGCGGCGAGGAAAAUACAACACCAAAGGAAGCAGGUGGAUCAUGGUUCCUCAUUGUGGAAAGGGCUAUCAUCAUAUCAUUGCUGUGCAUAGUUAUUAUUUUGUGUGCGGCUCAGCUCAUUGUCAUUGUAUUAAAAUGUGAAAUGGAAUCUCAAAGGAGAGUGUGCAUUAUAAUACCAAUUGUCAUCUUUGUAGCUGUAGCUGGUGUAGGCACUGCUCUUUUUUUCCAAGAUGGCUACACUGCACAGAAUCAAGCUGGUCUUGGCCUAAUUGUAGUCCCUGCUGUGAUUUUGGUACCAUUUCAAUACUUCAUGUUUGGAAUUGUUUUUGACAGUCUACCUCAAACGACACUGGCUCUGAUAGGUUUGAAAAUUCUUGGUUAUAUAAUUGCCGUGGUUGGCUUUGCACUGUGUGUCCCAGCCUGUCCUCCAUUACAUGCGUCUGUUCUGAUUGCUGGCUUUGCUAUUAUGGCUACUGCAAGUUUGCUUAGUCUGGUUUACGUUGUUAUUAUGGGUUCCAGAAUGAAAGAUCAUCCUCGUCCAGGGAAUCACUACUUACUGUAUAUGUCAAUUAGAGUAAUUUAACUGUGGCGAGCCAAAAAUAAACAUGAAGGCUUUUUAUACAUAUAUAUAUUUUUAAAUGUUUUGCAGAAAGCUGUAGAAGAACCACUAAAUGGUAGGUGAUGUUCAAGGCUUAUCUUCUAAUUAAGGGAUUAAUGUUGGAAAAAGGCUGAACAAUAAGUGUAGUUCCCAGUAGAAUAGCAUUGAAAAGGCAGAUCAGUAUGUCAAUAUAUGUGGCUCUGUGAGUCAGAAGAGUUUGAUCUCCUCAGGGAAGUUAGGGCAGAUCCAAUCUCCUUGCUCUAUGCUACUUUCCUUGCUAGCCAGUGGCAUUGUUUGACUGUUGUAGGACAAAUCUAACAUUUUAGGAUAUUUUACUUGCCCUCUGUGCUUUGCAAAAUGUCCAGCUUUUAAGAGAGAAAGAGGGAUGGGUCUUGAUAUUAAUUCUUCAAAAACAUUUGUUUAGGUGAAAUACUUCCGAUUAUAGUAAAAUCUAUCCUUGCCACUCUGUUGUUCCCAUAGUUCUUUGGGUUGGGGGAAACUCUGCCAUGGUGUUGGGAAACUCUGUUAGCACUUAAGGUGAGGGAAAUUUACAGUGAGAAAGGGAUGCCUCUAAAAUUCUAUUUUUCUCUUUCUUUCUCUUUGCUAUUAUAAUCACUAAUUGGCAUGCUGAGUAGUAGCAAGUUCUAACCUGAAUUUUAGAAUUAAUCUGAAUGUUAAUUAUUAAGCAUUUCUUGCUGAGUCAUUACUAAUCCAUUUGCUUGGUUUUUAAAGAUGCAAAAGGAGUGAUGUUAGAAUGAUGAGCUGCAAAGCUAUGUGAUACGUGAAUAAAAUGUACACCGUUGUUGAUACACCGUGGCCUUGAAGAUGCACUACUCAACGAGAAGAAAUUCAGGAAACUGGUUGUUUUGCAUGUGUGGCAAAAGUGCUUUUGAUAUAAAUGACGUAAUUUUAUAGUCACAGCAGCUGUAGCAAGGAACAUGUGUGUUUGCCCACAUGUGAACUUUAUUUUCUUUUGUUCUGGUAUAUAUGGGAUGGUUGAGGGUGAGAACAUAGAAAGCACUGUUUGCCCACUACAGGGUCUCCCUGCAGUAAUCCUUAGUGGUAUUAUUUUCAAAAACUAUCAUUAGUCACUGCUUUGAUAAUGGGCCUGCUCAGCCCAGAGGUUGCAAUACCAUUUAGACUAUUGUUUUCUUUAUUUGUGUGCAUGGGCAAAGUAUGGUCUAUGUGUGUGAUACAAGCAGGAAGUAGAGAUUGUAAAAAUACAUCUUUUCUGACAUUCAGCAAAACUUUUCUAAGAAAAAGUAAAACCUUUUACACAAAGUUGCAUAAGUACAAAGUUUACUCCCAGUUCUCAUGAAGUCAUUAAGAGAGUUCUAAUUCCACAAAACAUUAGCAUUCCUCUCUCUGGACAGUAGCCACGUAUGCUGUGGUGGCUGGUAUUUUUGUCCAGUGAGAGAGCAUUCCGUGCCUCCUCUGUAUUCCUGGAUGAGAAACUGCUCAGCUGUUGGAGCCUAAUUCAGCACUGGAAUUACGGAGCACAGCAGUUAGUAAUUUUCAUGCUGAAUGUGGUUCUUAUGUGUGUGUUCAUGUUGUGCAGUGUGUGGUACUGGAAGCAAUUUCAGGCUUUCUUAACUCAAUGAAUUUGUAAAAGUCGUGGAUGCUUCAUAAAAAUAAGAGCCGUCCUAUUUAGUGUAUUUUUGGCAGAGUUUUAAAAUCUUGUUUUCUUGAAUGGAAAAAAGGAGCUAUAUAAUUUCUCACCGAAGUUUAUGUUGCUGCCAUUAUAUCACAAAUACAUAAAAUACAAAGUAAGUAGGAGGAGCUGAUGAGAAAUAAGGAAGCUCAGUUUCUGUAUAUAUAUAUAUGUGGUACAGUUAAAAAUCAGUUUUCUAGGACUUGCACAUUCCAUGAGAUUUUACCACAUUUUACAGCUGUUAUGGGAGUUGUUCCAGUAUACUUGGUUUCUCUUGGACUUUGUGUAUACUUUGUAGAAAUCUUGACACUGUCUGCUGUUUGUACUAAGGUAUUGUAUUUCAAAGAUACACAUGGUUUUCUCCUCCUAACAAUUUAAAACUUGGUUUGCCAAGCAGUAACGUAAUAAAAUCCAUAUUUUUAAAGAUUCUGAGUAAUUUGGCACUUCUCAGAGUUGAAUGUUACAAAGUUCCAUGUCCAUAUUGUGGGUGCAUGUUGCAGAGAUUCCGGUCUCUGCACGUUGAGCUCCAAGUCUUGAUGCAGGCACUUGGCAUUGAGAAUUCAACAAAACAGAAUUGAGGUACCUGAUCUUACAAAUGGUGCUGUCAUAAACAGCCCUCUUGCUAAGGCUGCAGGAUUGAACCAUUUAAAGCAACCUCUAGUCCAGCCCUCUCUAGGAUCAGUGGAACUGGGCACAGGGAAGAGGAUCAUUCAUGUGAUAAAACAUGAAAGAAGCAUGUAUGGCUUACACUCACUGUCGUACGUUAGUCAGUGGGAGCGUUUGCGUGUAAGAUUUGAGCUCUUACCUAUGAAUCUUUUGAUGCAGGUUUUUCCAUAAUGUCAGUGAUCUCUAGCUAAAGAUGGGAGAUGAUUUUCCAUUAACAAUUCAGUGUAAGAAUUUAUCUGAUUAGCACUGUGUGGUGUUCCCUGUUUAUAACUAGUGAUUCCCUCUGGCAAAUUAAAAGUCUAGCAGCUGAGGAAUUGAAAAACCAAAUCAAGUGGGAUUCUGUUGAGGUAUUCUGCCUUAUAAAAACUGUUAUGUACAAAAUAGCUUUAUGUUACCUUCUGUAAAGCAAACUGCAGCAGAACCCGUUUGUGUCACCUUGGGAUCGGGCCGAGCUCAAAACCUGAGGAGCUCGGUGGCCCUGUAGGGGCUGCAGAAUCAGUUGCCCCAGAAAUGGGAGAAACCCACUGUCCUGUUGUGUUAAGGGCUGGAUUUCUUGUAGGUACAAACUUAAAAGCAAGAGUUUUAAAAGUCAUUGAUACACCCAGCCCUUUUCCACCAGUAAUUUAAGACCAAAGUUGUUCAUAACUGUGUGCUUUCAUUUGUGUGUGUACAUGUGUGUAUAUACAAACAUACAGAUAUUUGAAAUAUCUAUAGAUCUAUAGUCUUUACCCAAGAAAAUGUUUUUAUUUAUGAAACAGGAAAUGAUUUUGUAAAUAUUGUGCUAAUAUACUUAAAAAAAUAAAGUCAUUUUAAGUUGUU